AUUGAACGCUGGCGGCAUGCCUUACACAUGCAAGUCGAACGGCAGCACGGGGCAACCUGGUGGCGAGUGGCGAACGGGUGUGUAAUGCAUCGGAACGUGCCAUUGAGUGGGGGAUAACGUAGCGAAAGUUGCGCUAAUACCGCAUAUUCUGUGAGCAGGAAAGCAGGGGACCGCAAGGCCUUGCGCUCUUUGAGCGGCCGAUGUCAGAUUAGCUAGUUGGUGAGGUAACGGCUUACCAAGGCGACGAUCUGUAGCGGGUCUGAGAGGAUGAUCCGCCACACUGGAACUGAGACACGGUCCAGACUCCUACGGGAGGCAGCAGUGGGGAAUUUUGGACAAUGGGCGCAAGCCUGAUCCAGCCAUGCCGCGUGAGUGAAGAAGGCC
rnacentral:rRNA from 1 species